AAAGCUUGGUUUCUCACCACAAGUGAAGAUGACAGCCGCCUUGCGUAUACUUGCACAUGGUACGGCAGCUAACCUCAAUGAUGAUUACUUGAAGAUACCAAAGACCACAUCAUUUGAAGCUUGCAAGAGAUUCUGUCAUGCAGUCAACAACUUAUACGGAGCUGAAUAUCUUAUGGAACGGCUUCAUACGGUGAAUCAUGAUCUACAUAAAUGGAUUCACUCAUUGGAGAAG
rnacentral:lncRNA from 1 species